rnacentral:rRNA from 1 species
GAUUUCUGCGAACCAUUGCAGCCCGUGCCUUCUCGGGCGUGUGCGCUGUGUGGAGCUGCGUCCAUUCAUUUGCCGGACUUACGCGAUCUGGAUCGAUUACUUUGAAAAAUUAGAGUUUUUAAAGCAGGCUUAUGCCUUGAAGACACGAGCAUGGAAUAAUAAUUGAGGACUUCAGUUCUAUUUUGUUGCUUUCUAGGACUGGAGUCAUGAUUGAUAGGGACAGUUGAGGUAAAAUUCUUAGAUUCGCGGAAGAGUAACUACUGCGAAAUCGUU